rnacentral:rRNA from 1 species
UACGGAGGAUGCAAGCGUUAUCCGGAAUUAUUGGGCGUAAAGCGUCCGCAGGUGGCUUUUCAAGUCUGUUGUCAAAGCGCGGGGCUUAACUCCGUACAGGCAAUGGAAACUGUGAAGCUAGAGUAUGGUAGGGGUAGAGGGAAUUCCCGGUGUAGCGGUGAAAUGCGUAGAUAUCGGGAAGAACACCGGUGGCGAAAGCGCUCUGCUAGGCCGCAACUGACACUGAGGGACGAAAGCUAGGGGAGCGAAUGGG